GACGAACCGUGCGAACGUUAUUCGGAAUCACUGGGCUUAAAGCGCGUGUAGGCGGGCCGGCACGUCGGUCGCUGAAAUCCCCCGGCUCAACCGGGGAACGGGCGCCGAUACGACCGGCCUGGAGGGGGGUAGGGGGCGCCGGAACUCACGGUGGAGCGGUGAAAUGCGUUGAGAUCGUGAGGAACGCCCGUGGCGAAAGCGGGCGCCUGGACCCCGCCUGACGCUGAGGAGCGAAAGUGUGGGGAGCGAACAGG
rnacentral:rRNA from 1 species